rnacentral:tRNA from 1 species
GGCUUUAUAGUCAAAAAUUUAUGAUAUUAGAUUGCAAAUCUAAGGUUAGGUAUAAUUACCUUAAAGCUU